AAACCCCCCCCCCCCCCCCCCCCCGCUGGUACAAAGACCUCUCCACAGGUGUGGCUGUAUACUGGACCGGUAGUCAGUGACGGGUAAGAUCCAAUUGCAAUGGUACCAACCUAAGACAGGAGGCUGACGCCUUGAGGUCAGCUUAUCCGAUAAUGGGUAAGGACCAUAUGUACUAUUGGACAACCUAAGGCAGGCACGGUCCCUAAGCCACAUGCUUGUUGUUUAAACAGAGAGGGGGAGAUGUUGAGAGCCACAGCCGAAGGGGCCCCAGCAAACUUUCAGACUGCCAGCUGAUGAUUGGCUCACAGCGGCCCCAGCAACUUCUAGCUAAUUGGCUCCUCUGCGGUGAUGCUCAUUGAGCUGUUUUCCCGCCCUUUCAGACUACCGAGCUGCUCAUGGGGGGACUUUUUUGGCUCCGCCCACGUGACCCAGCCAAUCAGCCUCAAGAGCAGGAGGAGUGGGGGAGGUUGAGAGGCUUGUGGGAAGCGGUGGUGGCAGUUGGGCUCUGAAGGUUUUUCCUGAGGAGCUGUUUUGUUUGGC
rnacentral:lncRNA from 1 species